GCCGAAGUGGCGGAAUUGGCAGACGCGCUAGGUUCAGGUCCUAGUGGGACCUUUAAAUCCCGUGGGGGUUCGAAUCCCCCCUUCGGCA
rnacentral:tRNA from 1 species